CUCUCGGGGCCCUGUGAGGAUGAAGGAAGUACCCCAUGCAAACGUGAUGUAAGUUCUAAUUCUUCAUGCACCUGUAUCUUCUCUCUCCAGGGAGGCUGAAUUUUCCUAAGAGUACGAAUCAAGCGGCUCCUCUACCUGUAAAACGGGGAAUUCGCCUGGUGUGCAUUGGGAUCUAAAGGGAUCUCUGGGAUGUUGUGGCUGGAGAGAGACACAUGUGGAUGGUGUUGGACACUGGAUUUGUCCAUCAGAGCUCAAGGAGUCAGAAGUCACUGUGGAAGGACCAUGGGGGAUAAUUUAAGGAGCUCCAAGACCCCAUCUCACGACCGGGAAUACACUUGGAGGCAGGCACAGCCACCUGCUGGUUUCUCCUGAUGACAACUGUUGACCGGCACCUAACGUCGUGUGUGGCUCACCUGGCUGGAAGCCCCACCUGUGGAAAGGGAAAGGGAGAGGCAAGGCGGGGAACUGGAGAGGAGGGGGCAAGUCAUUUUAGAGCUUUAUGAAGCCCUGAGUAUUAGCGCGUCCUUUCAAUCACUGCCCCCCCAAAGAACCGCGUAGGCAUGGUUCGUCUCCAUCCGAAGACAUCAAGACAUUUAUAGCUACACGUAAAAUGUCUAUAUACGUAUAUAAAUUUGUACGCACAUGUAAGGAGGCAAAACACUGACUGCCCUCACAGCGGGCACCGAACUCCCACAGGGCAUAGGCAGUCCCUGAGAAAUUUCCUUGAUAAGCCACCGGACCGGAGAGAGACUCUGAAGGCAACGUUGUCAUCUGGACCGUCGAAUAACAAGUUGGCCUGCUACCGAAAAUGGAAAAAAAAUUUAACUUUUGCUUCUGGGGGG
rnacentral:lncRNA from 1 species